rnacentral:rRNA from 1 species
AGAGUUUGAUCCUGGCUCAGGACGAACGCUGGCGGCGUGCCUAACACAUGCAAGUCGAACGGGGUGAGGCCCUUCGGGACCUUUACCUAGUGGCGAACGGGUGAGUAACGCGUGAGGAACCUGCCUUUCAGUGGGGGACAACAGUUGGAAACGACUGCUAAUACCGCAUAAAGCUUUUGGGAGACAUCUCCUGAAAGCCAAAGCUUAAUGUGCUGAAAGAUGGCCUCGCGUCUGAUUAGCUAGUUGGUGGGGUAACGGCCCACCAAGGCGACGAUCAGUAGCCGGUCUGAGAGGAUGAACGGCCACAUUGGGACUGAGAUACGGCCCAGACUCCUACGGGAGGCAGCAGUGGGGAAUAUUGGGCAAUGGGCGAAAGCCUGACCCAGCAACGCCGCGUGAAGGAAGAAGGCCUUCGGGUUGUAAACUUCUUUUACCAGGGACGAAGGACGUGACGGUACCUGGAGAAAAAGCAACGGCUAACUACGUGCCAGCAGCCGCGGUAAUACGUAGGUUGCAAGCGUUGUCCGGAUUUACUGGGUGUAAAGGGCGUGUAGGCGGAGAUGCAAGUUAGGAGUGAAAUCUAUGGGCUCAACCCAUAAACUGCUUCUAAAACUGUAUCCCUUGAGUAUCGGAGAGGCAAGCGGAAUUCCUAGUGUAGCGGUGAAAUGCGUAGAUAUUAGGAGGAACACCAGUGGCGAAGGCGGCUUGCUGGACGACAACUGACGCUGAGGCGCGAAAGCGUGGGGAGCAAACAGGAUUAGAUACCCUGGUAGUCCACGCUGUAAACGAUGAAUACUAGGUGUGGGGGGACUGACCCCCUCCGUGCCGCAGUUAACACAAUAAGUAUUCCACCUGGGGAGUACGACCGCAAGGUUGAAACUCAAAGGAAUUGACGGGGGCCCGCACAAGCAGUGGAUUAUGUGGUUUAAUUCGAAGCAACGCGAAGAACCUUACCAAGUCUUGACAUCGAGAGGACAGAGUAUGUAAUGUACUUUCCCUUCGGGGCCUCAAAGACAGGUGGUGCAUGGUUGUCGUCAGCUCGUGUCGUGAGAUGUUGGGUAAGUCCCGCAACGAGCGCAACCCCUAUCUUCAGUAGCCAGCAAUUCGGAUGGGCACUCUGGAGAGACUGCCGGGGAUAACCCGGAGGAAGGCGGGGAUGACGUCAAAUCAUCAUGCCCCUUAUGACUUGGGCUACACACGUGCUACAAUGGCGUAAACAAAGGGAAGCGAGGGAGUGAUCCGGAGCAAAUCCCAAAAAUAACGUCUCAGUUCGGAUUGUAGUCUGCAACUCGACUACAUGAAGCUGGAACCGCUAGUAAUCGCGAAUCAGCAUGUCGCGGUGAAUACGUUCCCGGGUCUUGUACACACCGCCCGUCACACCAUGGGAGUCGAUAACGCCCGAAGUCAGUGACCCAACCGAAAGGAGGGAGCUGCCGAAGGCGGGAUUGGUAACUGGGGUGAAGUCGUAACAAGGUA